rnacentral:rRNA from 1 species
GACGAACGCUGGCGGCGUGCUUAACACAUGCAAGUCGAACGGAAAGGCCCUGCUUUUGUGGGGUGCUCGAUUGGCGAACGGGUGAGUAACACGUGAGUAACCUGCGCUUGACUUUGGGAUAACUUCAGGGAACUGGGGCUAAUACCGGAUAGGAGCUCCUGCUGCGUGGUGGGGGUUGGAGAGUUUAGGCGGUUGGGGCUGGACUCGCGGCUUAUCAGCUUGUUGGUGGGGGAGUGGCUUGCCAAGGCUUUGCCGGGUCGCCGGCCUGAGAGGGUGACCGGCCACAUUGGGACUGAGAUACGGCGCAGACUGCUACGGGCGGCAGCAGUGGGGAAUAUUGCACAAUGGGCGGAAGCCUGAUGAAGAAACGCCGCGUGCGGGAUGCCGGCCUGCGGGUUGUAAACCGCUUCCGCAGGUGACGAAGCGUGAGUGACGGUAAUGGGUAAAGAAGCACCGGCUAACUACGUG